GAUGAACGCUGGCGGCGUGCCUAAUACAUGCAAGUCGAGCGAACGGACGAGAAGCUUUCUUCUCUGAUGUUAGCGGCGGACGGGUGAGUAACACGUGGAUAACCUACCUAUAAGACUGGGAUAACUUCGGGAAACCGGAGCUAAUACCGGAUAAUAUUUUAAACUGAAUGUUCCAAAAGUGAAGGACGGUCUUGCUGUCACUUAUAGAUGGAUCCGCGCUGCAUUAGCUAGUUGGUAAGGUAACGGCUUACCAAGGCAACGAUGCAUAGCCGACCUGAGAGGGUGAACGGCCACACUGGAACUGAGACACGGUCCAGACUCCUACGGGAGGCAGCAGUAGGGAAUCUUCCGCAAUGGGCGAAAGCCUGACGGAGCAACGCCGCGUGAGUGAUGAAGGUCUUCGGAUCGUAAAACUCUGUUAUUAGGGAAGAACAUAUGUGUAAGUAACUGUGCACAUCUUGACGGUACCUAAUCAGAAAGCCACGGCUAACUACGUG
rnacentral:rRNA from 1 species